rnacentral:lncRNA from 1 species
CCGAGAGGCGUACCUACAUGUAGGCUUCAUGGAUCCAUCUGUAGUUAACCAACAACAGAUACAAUUAGCGCCGGAAAAAACCUUUGCCGAAAUAUACAAUUUCCUACACAAACAAACAUUCAAGGAUUUCAUACUACUUCCAUACAACUUCAAGUAAGUGUGUGUAUACCGUCUACUUUCGAUGUCUUUUUCCUUAUCUCUACAUGUUAGUUAGCUCUAAUAUGCAUGAACAUUUUACGCACGCAGCUUCCACUGGAUCCUUAUUAUAAUUGAGCCUGAAAGAAGCCACGUCACUGUCUUUGAUUCGUUACGGAAAGAUCCGGUGGACUACCAAGAAUUGCAAGACAUGCUAGGCUUGUAAUAAUUCUGGACCUUUAUCUCUAUGCAAAAAUUUAUUUCCUAAAUUUUAUCCCUGUUACACUAUGUCAUUCAUUAUUCUAAUCCGCAGCGCAUGGAAACAAUUCAUAAGGACACACAAAGGUCCAUUCAAAGAAAAUCUUACAUGGAACACAGACUUCCCGGUACGUAUGAAGUCUGCACAUUUAUUACAUUGUAUAACACGAAUAGUUCAUAACUUAUUUUUUUCCGCACUGAAGUGUUUAAGACAGGAACCCGGGAAUAAUCUAUGUGGCUACUACAUCUGUGAGCACAUGCACAGUUUUUUGGGACCCAAGGGACCGAAGAUGACGCCGCACAACUUUAAAGUACGUAAAAUAAAUAUAUUACUAGUUAAUUAUUUUCUAGCUCCUUAUAUGUAUUUGUUCAUGUAACAUUCACAAAUUUCCAAAUUAUAGAUGUUAAAUAUUCAACAAGGACUCUUGAAGGAAGAAAGAGUAGCGGCAAUAUGUGAAGGUCUCAUUGGAUUCAUAAUGGACGAGGUGGUAGAUCCAAGAGGAGAAUUUUAUUACGAUGGACGACAAUUAGACACUCCGAUCAGCAACACCACGACGGGAAGAUUGUAGGAAGAUACUUUGAUUUAUUUGUAUAUAUGAUCGAUUUGUACUAAUUAAGCUAGUUGAAUUGUGUAUAUGAAUUGUGUAUAAGGAUUGUGUAUAUAUAUAGUAGUUGUAUAAUUACAAAUCCCAUUCGUUUAAAUACUAGUUGAUUUCGUUCUAAAAAAAUCUCAACUACAAGGUUAACAAAUUAAAAGGGCCGCGGUACUACUAUACGUAUACGUGAUGCAUGCAUGAAAAAUACAGGCGUCACCAGUGCCAUGCAAGCGUAAUUUAGUCCCGGUUGGAAUUGAGCCGGGACUAAAGGGGACCCCUUUAGUCCCGGUUGGAUUUCCCACCGGGACUAAAGGGACCCCCUUUAGUCCCGGUUCGUGUCACCAACCGGGACUAAAGGGGGUGUCUUACGCCCGGGUAGGAUAUCCCUUUAGAACGAGUUGGUCCCACUUACGUCGUGUAAAGGUGGUCCUUUAGUACCUUUUACAAUUUCCGGGACUUAAUACCGCGAGCCCAUUUCUACUNNNNNNNNNNNNNNNNNNNNNNNNNNNNNNNNNNNNNNNNNNNNNNNNNNNNNNNNNNNNNNNNNNNNNNNNNNNNNNNNNNNNNNNNNNNNNNNNNNNNCGGUUGGUGACACCAACCGGGACUAAAGGGGGUGCUUUACGCCCGGUUAAAAUACCCGGGGCUAAUGACCCCCCCCCCAUUUUGUCCCGGUUGGUUUAUCCCGGAUGGAUAUCCCAGAGAUAUGCACCCUACCAACCGGGACUAAAGGUCAAUUCUCUACCAGUGGAAAUAUAGAAAACUGGAUGUAUCUGACUUCCUUUUGCUAAUGCCCAUUUAUAAGCUGUUGAACCCAGUUUUUCUUCCACCACAAAGGGAUCAAAAUACUUGAAAGCAAGCUUGGGAUAAGGUCGGUUUACCAAUGACUGUUGGACAUAUGGCUGCAGCUUGAGUAGGACUUGUUCACCAACCUGAAAGCAUCUGUCAGAACGAUGGCGAUCUGCCUGAAGUUUAAUACGGUUCUGGGCUGCAGCAAGGUGUUGCUUCAGAGAUGCCAAUUGCUGUUCCCUUUCCUGCAUAAAGUCCACAGCGGGGUUGUGUUCUUGAGUAGACAAUGGUAUGAAAGUGCCCAAAUCAGCCUCAUAACCAUAGACAGCUUUAAGGGGGAACAGCCCAAAGAAGUGUGGUAAUUAGAAUUGUACCACAAUUCAGCCAAAGAGAACCAAGUUUUCUAUUGCUUGGGUGAAUCUUGAACAGCACACCUGAGGUACAUUUCAAGGCAUUGAUUCACUCGUUCAGUUUGGCCAUACGUUUGAGGGUGGUAAGCUGAGCUUCCGAGCAACUUUGUAUCCACCAAUUUAAACAAUGCUGUCCAAAAAGCACUAGUGAAGAUCUUAUCCUUGUCAGAUACGAUUGUCCUUGGCAUACCAUGUAAUUUAACUACAUUGUCAAGCACUGCCUUAGCCACAACCUCUGCAGUGAAUGGAUGUUUGAGAGGGAUAAAAUGGCUGUACUUGGUGAAUCUGUCAACCACCACCAAUAUAACAUUGCAUCCUUCUGAUAGUGGCAAGCCUUCAACAAAGUCCAUGAAAAUAUCCUGCCAAGCACCUUGAGGAAUAGGGAGGGGUUGGAGUAAACCUCCUAGAUGAGUAUGCUUAUGCUUUGUUUGCUGACAGACUAUACACUGCUUCACAAAGUUGGCAACAUCAGUUUCCAAUCCUUUCCAACAAAAGAGUUGCUUGACUCUGUAGUAGGUGGCUUUGGUUCUAGAGUGGCCUCCAAUAACACUAGAAUGUAAAGCAUCAAUUUGUCUUGUUUGUAAUGCUACAUUUGCAGCAAUCCAAAUUUUGUUGUUGAACUUGAUGAGGCCCUGAUGUAGGAAGAAUCCCUAGUCAUCUGGAGAUUUAAUUGCUAGUCUUGUUAAUAUUUAUUGAGCUUGAGGGUCUGUGACAUAAGAAUUGAGCACCUCUUGAACCUAGGUUGAGCUUCAGAAACAACGUGUACUACUAACAAAUGAUAGCAUUUGGAUAAAGCAUCAGCUGCUAGAUUCUCUUUCCCUUUUCUAUAAAUGACUUUGAAUUGGAGCCCAAUAAGUUUGGUCAUUGCUUUCCUUUGCAUUUCAGAAUGAAGGUUUUAUUCACUGAGAUAAGAUAAACUUUUAUGAUUUGUUCUAAUUAUAAACUCUUGCCUCUGAAGAUAUGGUCUCCGUUUCUCAACAGCCAUAAUUAAAGCUAGGAAUUCCUUUUCAUAUAUAGAUAAAUUUUUAUGUGUGGGUCCUAGUGCCUUGCUCAUAAAAGCCACAGGUUGAUCUCCUUGCAUCAAAAACAGCCCCCACCCCUAAUUAGAAGCAUCAGUUUCAACAAUAAAUGGCUGAGUGAAAUUUGGAAUAGCCAACACUGGGGCUAUGACCAUGGCUUGCUUUAACUGGUUAAAAGCUGCUUGAGCUAUAGCAGACCACUCAAAUUGCUUCUUCUUCAGAAGUGUUGUCAAUGGUUUAGCCAUCAAUCCAUAAUGUUGCAUAAACUUUUUGUAGUAGCCAGUGAGAUCCCAAAAUCCCCUCAAUUCAGUUACAAUAGUAGGAAUCGGCCAAUUAAGCAUAGCUUCUAUUUUUGCUAGAUCAGUAGCCACCCCCUGCUCAGAAAUAAUGUUCCCCAGAUAAUCAAAUUUGUGUUGAGCAAAAGAACACUUGCUAUGUUUCAGGAAAAAUUGAUUUUGUCUGAACUUCUCCGGAACAAGCCUGAGAUGCUAGAUAUGUAAGUCCAAUGUGGGGCUGUAAAUUAAUAUGUCAUCAAGAAACACUAGCACAAAUUUCCUAAGAAAAGGACCCAAAAUCUCAUUCAUAGUGCACUGAAAAGUGGCUGGAGCAUUGGUAAGCCCAAAUGGCAUUACUCUAAACUGGUAAUGCCCAUGUUGUGUCUUAAAAGCUAUUUUGUGUUCAUCAGACUCUUUCAUUCUCACUUGAUGAUACCCAGCUCUCAUGUCUAACUUAGUGAAAUAUUUUGUGCUAGCAAGCUCAUCCAAGAUUUCAUCAAUUAUUGGCAUUGGAAACCUAUUUUUGAUGGUAAUAUCAUUAAGUUUCCUAUAGUCCACACAAAAACACCAAGUGCCAUCUUUCUUUUGAACUAGUAAGAUAGGGGAAGCAUAAGGACUAGUACUGGGGGUUAUCAGACCAGCAGCUAACAGUUCUUGCACUUGUCUUUCAAUUUCAUUUUUGUGUAAUGGUGAGUAUCUAUAAAGCUUAGAGUUAAUAGGGAUAGCACCUGGAAUAAUGGGAAUAGGGUGGUCAUAAACUCUGGAGGGAGGCAACUCCUUAGGUUCAGCAAAAACAUCUUGAAAUUCAUCUAAGAGUGUCUGAACUUCAGGAGGUGGUAGGAGCUUCACUAUAGCAAAAGCCCAAAUAUCAUUGCCAGCAUCCCACUUCAAUAAUUUGUCAGCUGAGAGCUCUUGAAUAGCCAAAUUGCCUGCCU